GCCUCGGUGGCGCAAUUGGCUAGCGUUUCUGGCUUUUACAAGAACCCAGAUGGAUUCAACCAGGUGGUUGCGGGUUCGAGCCCCGCCCGAGGCU
rnacentral:tRNA from 1 species